rnacentral:SRP_RNA from 13 species
UGUCCUUCGCGGCGCGAUCCGCGUUGGCGGCGAGGAGUUCCUUGCGCGCGCGAACUUCAGCGAGGCCGUCGUUGCACUGCACGUUGUUGGGGUCGCACGCGAGGCCGCCGGCGUACGCCUUCUGCGCGCCCACCAGGUCGCCCUUCUUGAACAGCGCGAGGCCCAGACGGGAGUAGCCC